CCUGCCCGCCCGCUUCCUGCCUUCGCUCCCCCACGGUGGGCCCCGCACCCCCGCACCCCUAAGCCCUGCCCGGCCCCCGUGAGGAAGCAAGAGGCACAGCCCGGAGCCCCGGCCUCCUGUCAACCCGCCGCCCGGGGAGACUGGGGUGGGCUCCGGCCCGGCACCGGCGCCCGUCUCCUCCGACAGCUGAGCUAGGCCUCGUCUGGCCUCCCAAACGACCCCCUCCCCGACGUCCCAGGCCAUUGGACCCCCGGCUCUGCCUUUCUCCUCCUGCCCUGUCCACGUGUUGGCGUCGGGGGCUGGACCUCCGGAGGGGAGGGUGACACCUUCCUCCGGGCCUGGGAGGAGGGAGCGAGCUGGUCACGGGCACCUCCCCUUGCGGCGACGCGGUAAGGAGAGAAGGAAGUCCCUUCUCGCGGAGCUCUCAUUGCAGCCGGCGACAGACAAGAAACAGGACAGCGGCAAACAGUGACGACGCCCGGCGGGGACAGGCGUCGUGAAGGAAGCAGCAGAGGAAGCUGAGACGGGCUGGCGGCGGAGGGGAGACCGGACGGAGACCACCCCGAGCUCCAGCUCCGCAAAGGGACCGCGCUGCGAGCGGCCGCACUGCCAAGGACAAAGGCCCUGAGGGGGGAAGAGCUGGGGGGCUCCAGGGACCCCUCCGGGCGGGCCGGGGUGACCUGCCGGAGGCGGAGCGCGGCCCGGGCCGUGAGCCGAGAACCCGCGUGGCCCGGACCCGGACGCGCCCUCUGGCGGCCGUGCGAGGAUCGACCAGGUGGCUCCGCUGCAGGGUCCCGAGCCGAGCUGGCGGCGGAAGGUGUAUAUUUCGUAGCGUCUAAACGAUUUGCUGAUGGAUCUAGAACGAUUCCAGGCUCAUUCUUGACAACUUGACAAAUGCAGGUGUCACUUAACCAGGAGCCGGUGACGGUGAUGGAGGGGGGUCUUGGAAUCGAGGUUCCAUCCUGGACAUGGGGUUGAGAAGCCUGUGAGGUAGCAGAGCAUUUGCUAUGAACUGAAUGUUUAUGUUCCAAAAAUUCACCUUGAAACCUGGCCCCCAAGGGGACGGUAUUUGGAGGAGGGGCUUUGGGAAGUGAUCAGGUCACCAGGAUGUGAAUGGAGCCCUCAGAACAGAAUUGGUGCUGGUAUAAAGAGCACCACAGGGUACACUGACAGAAGAGAGCCAUCCCUCGCAGACAGACUCGCCAACACCCUGAUCUUGGACUUCCAGCCCCCAGAACAGCGAGAAGUGAAUUUCUGUUUUUUCCAUUUUGUCAUAGCAGCCUGAACGGACUAAUACAGUGUUGACUGGUUGAUGGAUUGACUGAUUGAAAUGGCAUAAUAUUUGGGAUUUAUUUUACCCCAGCUCUAUUAAGGUACUGACAAAUUAAAAUAGUAUCUAGUUUCAGAGGACGCUAUGAAGUUUUGCUAUAUGUACACACAGUGAGGUGAAAAAUUCAAGCUCAUUAACAUACCAGUCACCUCAUAUUUAGUUCUUUGAUGAUCUAAUCCCUUAGCAAUUUUCAAAUACACAUUUAUAGAAACAUAGUUGCCGUAUGUAUAAUAUAUCCCCAGCCCUCCUCCAGCCUGUCUAAGGGACUUGGUACCAUCCUGGACCACUAUUUCCCCUCCCUCCCCCACUCAGCCCCUGGAAGCCACCUUCUACUUUUUUCCUGUGAGUUCAACUCUUUUCUUCUCUAGAUUCCACAGGUACAAUCACGGGGUUCUCAUCCUGGCUUAUUUCACUUGACCCAAUGUCCUCCAGGUUGAUCCACAUGUUGCAAAGGACAGAUGUCUUUCUUUUUUUAAGGCUGAAUAGUAUUCCACUGUGCACUAUGGACCACAUUCUCUUCCUUCAGUCUUCAGUGGAUGGCCACUUAGGUUACUGCCACAUCUUGGCCACGGUGGACAGUGCAGCUGUGACCACGGGGGGGCAGAUGUCUCUCUGACAUACUGAUGUCAUUUUCUUUAGGAUACAACCCAGGUGUGGAAUUGCUGCAUCACAUGGGAAUUCUAUUUUCAAUUUGAGGAACCUCCAUACUAUUUCCUGUGACAGCUGUACCAGUUCACACUCCCACCAACAGUGCCCAAGGCUCCCCUUUCCUCCACAUCCUUCAGCCCAUUUGUUACAUUGUAUCAAUUUAGUAAUCGCCAUUCUAAUAGGUGAAGGGCUCUCCCAUUGUGCUCAACCACUGAGCCGUGUCCCCAGCCCCUUUUUGUAUUUUAUUUAGAGACAGGGUCUCCUUGAGUUGCUUAGAGCCUGUUGCUGAGGCUGGCUUUGAACUGGAGAUCCUCCUGCCUCAGCCUCCUGAGCCCCUGGGAUGACAGGCGGGCGCCCCCGCGGCGGCCUGUCUAUUCAGUCUUUCUCCUCUGCGGCUGGACUGUGAGGCUUGUAUAUGUGGAUAUUAACCCCGGGUUUGCAGCACCCUCUCCUGUUCCACAGGUGGCCUCUCUGUCGGCUCUUCCCUUUGCCUGCUCAGACCAAGGCCGCAAGCCUUCCUCCUGUUUUCUUCCAGCGGCUUUCCACAUUUAAGUCUGCCAUCCACUGGAGCCCAUUGUUGUGCAUCACCAGAGGUGAGUUCCCGUGUCACCUGCAUGUGGAGACCAGCUUCCCAAUCACUGAAGAGACCCUGUCCUGUGUUGUUGGCAACUUUGUUGAAAACCAAUUAACUGCAAAUGCACGGACUUACUCCCAGGCCCCCGCUGUGCUCUGUUGGCCCUUGGGUGGGGUUUUAAGGCCAUGCUUCCGUGACAGUGGCUCUGCAGGGUGUGGAAGUCAGGUAGGCUGAGGCCUCCAGCUUGGCUCGUGCUGCUCAGAACUGCUCUGGCUGAUUGGGAGGUGGUGGGCCCUUGAGAAGUGAGGCUUUGUGGGAGGUUUUAGAUGUGGA
rnacentral:lncRNA from 1 species